AACGAACGCUGGCGGCAGGCUUAACACAUGCAAGUCGAACGCCCCGCAAGGGGAGUGGCAGACGGGUGAGUAACGCGUGGGAACGUGCCCUUCGCUUCGGAAUAGCCCCGGGAAACUGGGAGUAAUACCGAAUACGCCGUAUUGGGAAAGAUUUAUCGGCGAAGGAUCGGCCCGCGUUGGAUUAGCUAGUUGGCGGUGUAAUGGACCACCAAGGCUACGAUCCAUAGCUGGUCUGAGAGGAUGAUCAGCCACACUGGGACUGAGACACGGCCCAGACUCCUACGGGAGGCAGCAGUGGGGAAUCUUGGACAAUGGGCGCAAGCCUGAUCCAGCCAUACCGCGUGAGUGAUGAAGGCCUUAGGGUUGUAAAGCUCUUUUACCAGGGAUGAUAAUGACAGUACCUGGAGAAUAAGCUCCGGCUAACUCCGUGCCAGCCGCCGCCGUAAAAC
rnacentral:rRNA from 1 species